UACUGGACAUGCCUCAGAGACAAUGAGACGU
rnacentral:piRNA from 2 species